GGGGAGCAGCUUACGUGGUACAACUCUGACUGUCACAGAUCCAGAUGUGCAGGUGCAGGUGAUCUGGACUUCUACCGGUCCAACACUGAUUUGUUCCAGCAGCUGUCUUCUCUCUGCUCGUUCUUCCUUUGUCUGGUACAAGAGAGAAAAAGAAAUUCAGGGAGAGACGUCUCCAUCUUUUAGAGGACACGUUGAUCCUGAGGACAGUUAUUCCUGUGCUUAUGAGGGUUACCGCUCUCCUCCAGUGUAUGCUCCGAAGGUCUCAGUGUUGAUGAAUCCCUCUGGUGACGUAAUGAAGGACAGUUCAGUGAAUCUCACCUGUAGCAUCGAUGCUAACCCAGCAGCUAAAUACACCUGGUACAAAGAGAAGCAGUUACUGCUCAGUGGAGAACCGCAGCUUGUUUUCACCUCCGUCCAGUCCUCCGACUCUGGAGAGUAUUACUGCACAGCUGAGAAUGAGCUGGGGAAGACGACAUCUGAACAUGUCUCACUUAAGGUGAAAUAUGGUCCUCAGACCUCCACUCUGUCAGUGAGUCCCUCUGGUGAGAUAGUGGAGGGCAGUUCAGUGACUCUGACCUGUAGCAGUGAU